UCCUACGGGAGGCAGCAGUGGGGAAUCUUGGACAAUGGGGGCAACCCUGAUCCAGCGAUGCCGCGUGGGUGAAGAAGGCCUUCGGGUUGUAAAGCCCUUUAGGCGGGGAAGAAGGAUAUGGGCUGAAUAUGCCUGUAUUUUGACGGUACCCGCAGAAUAAGCACCGGCAAACUCUGUGCCAGCAGCCGCGGUAAUACAGAGGGUGCGAGCGUUAAUCGGAUUUACUGGGCGUAAAGGGAGCGUAGGCGGUUGUAUGAGUGUGAUGUGAAAGCCCCGGGCUCAACCUGGGAAGCGCAUCGCAAACGAUACGACUAGAGUAUAUGAGAGGGUGGCGGAAUUUCCGGUGUAGCGGUGAAAUGCGUAGAGAUCGGAAGGAACGUCAAUGGCGAAGGCAGCCACCUGGCAUAAUACUGACGCUGAGGCUCGAAAGCGUGGGGAGCGAACAGGAUUAGAUACCCUGGUAGUCCACGCCGUAAACGAUGAGAACUAAAUGUUGGAGGGGGAACCCUUCAGUAUUGAAGCUAACGCGAUAAGUUCUCCGCCUGGGAAGUACAGUCGCAAGACUGAAACUCAAAAGAAUUGACGGGGGCCUGCACAAGCGGUGGAGCAUGUGGUUUAAUUCGAAGCAACGCGCAGAACCUUACCAGCGUUUGACAUGGUAGGACGGUUUCCAGAGAUGGAUUCCUUCCCUUACGGGACCUACACACAGGUGCUGCAUGGCUGUCGUCAGCUCGUGUCGUGAGAUGUUGGGUUAAGUCCCGCAACGAGCGCAACCCUCGCCUUUAGUUGCCAGCAUUAAGUUGGGCACUCUAGAGGAACUGCCGGUGAUAAGCCGGAGGAAGGUGGGGAUGACGUCAAGUCCUCAUGGCCCUUACACGCUGGGCUACACACGUGCUACAAUGGCGCAUACAAAGAGAAGCGACCUCGCGAGAGCAAGCGGACCUCAUAAAGUGCGUCGUAGUCCGGAUUGGAGUCUGCAACUCGACUCCAUGAAGUCGGAAUCGCUAGUAAUCGUGGAUCAGAAUGCCACGGUGAAUACGUUCCCGGGCCUUGUACACACCGCCAU
rnacentral:rRNA from 1 species